rnacentral:rRNA from 1 species
GAUUAGCUCAGGAUGAACGCUAGCUACAGGCUUAACACAUGCAAGUCGAGGGGAAACGAUAUUGGAAGCUUGCUUCCGAUAGGCGUCGACCGGCGCACGGGUGAGUAACGCGUAUCCAACCUGCCCACCACUUGGGGAUAACCUUGCGAAAGUAAGACUAAUACCCAAUGAUAUCUCUAGAAGACAUCUGAAAGAGAUUAAAGAUUUAUCGGUGAUGGAUGGGGAUGCGUCUGAUUAG